rnacentral:rRNA from 1 species
UACGGAGGGGGCGAGUGUUGUUCGGAAUCACUGGGCGUAAAGGGCGCGUAGGCGGUGCAUCAAGUCAGGCGUGAAAGCCCCGGGCUCAACCUGGGAACCGCGCUUGAGACUGGUGCGCUCGAGUUCGGGAGAGGAUGGUGGAAUUCCCAGUGUAGAGGUGAAAUUCGUAGAUAUUGGGAAGAACACCGAUGGCGAAGGCAGCCAUCUGGACCGACACUGACGCUGAGGCGCGAAAGCGUGGGGAGCAAACAGG